AUUAUUAUUAUGAGGUUGGCUUAGAAAAAGUAUAAAAAUAAAUUAAUGAGAGAAGAAAAAAGAGUUUUGAAAUGGCACUAAUACAGAAAGGAGAAAGGAAUUUAAGAAGUUGAAGAAGUAAAUAUUUUUUAAAAUGUGAAAUGAUUAUAAAGUAUAGAAGAGGAAUAGAAUAAUACAAAAAGGAAGCCAGGAAAGAGGAAAGAUCGAAGAAGUGUAUAAUUGAAAUAAAAUUGAAAGGAGAAAGGAAUUGAAGGUUGGAGAAGGUAAAGAUUUUUUAAAUUAAAAAUG